CCCUUAGAUGUUCUGGGCCGCACGCGCGCUACACUGAUCGAUUCAACGAGUUUUGAAAUAAUUUUUAUAAUUUUUCAUAUCCUUUGUCGGAAGGCAUGGGUAAUCUUUUAAAUGUCGAUCGUGAUGGGGCUAGAUUCUUGCAAUUAUUAAUCUCCAACGAGGAAUUCCUAGUAAACGCAAGUCAUCAGCUUGCAUUGAUUACGUCCCUGCCCUUUGUACACACCGCCCGUCGCUCCUACCGAUUGAAUGAUCCGAUGAAUAUCAUGGAUUGAGGAUGCAAGCAGGUUCGCCUGUCUUCAUCUUCGAGAAGUGAAGUAAAUCUUAUCAUUUAGAGGAAGGAGAAGUCGUAACA
rnacentral:rRNA from 1 species